CUGGAUCCUACGCGACCCCGAUCCUGGGGCCUGGUUACAAGGGACCUGGCAAGAGAAAACCCACAUCGAUGGCAGAUGAGGACAGUCAGACGGACGAUGAGCAACUGUACCCGCCACUCAAGCCCAAGCUGACCAACGAGCAGCUCAUGUCCAUCAUGCGGCCACCCCCGCUGACCGAGUACCGCUCGUUUGGUGGGCGGCACCUCAUCACAGAAUUUGCUAGAGCACCACCUAGAGACAUUGAGGAAAACAAAGAGGAACCAGC